rnacentral:rRNA from 1 species
UAAGUUGGUAGUGAAAGCGUGCGGCUCAACCGCAUACACAUUACCAAAACUGCUCAGCUAGAGGACGAGAGAGGUACCUGGAAUUCCUAGUGUAGGAGUGAAAUCCGUAGAUAUUAGGAGGAACACCGAUGGCGUAGGCAGGGUACCGGCUUGUUCCUGACACUAAGGCACGAAAGCGUGGGGAGCGAACGGGAUUAGAUACCCCGGUAGUCCACGCCGUAAACGAUGGAUGCUA